rnacentral:rRNA from 1 species
GUUUUGAUCUUGGCUCAGGACGAACGCUGGCGGCAUGCCUAAUACAUGCAAGUCGAGCGGACUUGAUGAGAAGCUUGCUUCUUUGAUGGUUAGCGGCGGACGGGUGAGUAACACGUAGGCAACCUGCCCUCAAGUUUGGGACAACUACCGGAAACGGUAGCUAAUACCGAAUAGUUGUUUUCUUCGCCUGAAGGAAACUGGAAAGACGGAGCAAUCUGUCACUUGGGGAUGGGCCUGCGGCGCAUUAGCUAGUUGGUGGGGUAACGGCUCACCAAGGCGACGAUGCGUAGCCGACCUGAGAGGGUGAUCGGCCACACUGGGACUGAGACACGGCCCAGACUCCUACGGGAGGCAGCAGUAGGGAAUCUUCCGCAAUGGGCGAAAGCCUGACGGAGCAAUGCCGCGUGAGUGAUGAAGGUUUUCGGAUCGUAAAGCUCUGUUGCCAGGGAAGAACGCUUGGGAGAGUAACUGCUCUCAAGGUGACGGUACCUGAGAAGAAAGCCCCGGCUAACUACGUGCCAGCAGCCGCGGU